AUAAAAAAUAGAUUUUAGUUAAAACUCAAGCGAUAAAAGGAAUUCAAUUUUAUUAUUAUUAUUUUUAUCUGGAAAGCCGAAGCUCCUAUCCAGAGAACAUAAAGAUAGAGGACUAAAAAUUGACUGCAGUGAGAAGGGGAGAUACUAACAAAGAACCAACAGUUGAAGACCCUAGAAUGAUACACACAGAUACUACAAAUAAUAAGACUACUGAAAAAGGAGGAGGCAACAACAACAUUGCAGCCUAAACUUUCACCUUCCGGGAGCUGGCUACAACAACGAAGAAUUUCAAACAAGAAAAACAACCAUAUAAUGUGAAUUCAGUUGAUAUAAAAAAGUAAAAACAAAAAAAAAAGGAGAGAAAGAAAAAGCAAAGAAAACCAACGUAUGCUGAAAUCUUGACACUACCAAGAGACUGAAGCAACUGGUCGUUUUCUUUUAGUUAAGAGUUCAGAAGGAUAUAACAAAGAACUGCAUAAUAUAUAUUGUGACAUUUCCAUUAUGUGUUAAGUAAGCAAUGG
rnacentral:lncRNA from 1 species